rnacentral:lncRNA from 1 species
CAGCAUGGCCUCCAUUUUAGAUUUCACUCGAUAUUAGACCUGAUUUACCUAACUACACUGACUACUUAAUUUUAAAUCUGGCUUCACCAGGUCUCCUGCACUUCCCUCUUGGUGUGGGGCUCCCUCCCAGGUGCAGGCUACAGGUGGUCACAGGAGCCCAGGUCUCCUGCCACCUCUCUUCCCAGGUGCAGGGCAGAGAAGUGUGGAUGUUCAUGGAUCUUAGCCACUGUUCCUCUUAUGGCCACCUCUUUCUUUUCUGCAGACAUCCUAAAAUGCAAGUAUGACUGGUGUCUACUCUGUCUAUUACUGGAGUUUUUGUUUGUGCAUUUGUUUGACACUAGAAAUUGAUUCCAGAAGCUCUUUUACAACUGAUCCAUGUCCCCAGCCCUUUUUAAAAUUUUUCAGACAGGAUCUCCCUAAGUUGCUUAGAGUCUUGGUAAGUUGCUGAGGCUGGCUUAGAACCUGCAAUCCUCCCGCCUCAGCCUCCUGAGCCAUUGAGAUUAGAGGCAUAUGCCACCACACCCAGCAUACCUGCAGACCUUGAUGGGUGCCCUAUCAGCGGACACUGAGUCCCUUGAAGGUGGCCUGUGCUCUCUGAGUGGCUGGGAUCCUCCUUCCUGCUGGGGAAAAGCCAGGUCUUCCCAGUCAGGUCAGCAUGCAGAGUGUGACAUUCACAGUGGAUGUCUUGUAGCCUG